GACGAACGCUGGCGGCGUGCUUAACACAUGCAAGUCGAACGGAAAGGCCCUGCUUUUGUGGGGUGCUCGAGUGGCGAACGGGUGAGUAACACGUGAGUAACCUGCCCUUGACUUUGGGAUAACUUCACGAAACUGGGGCUAAUACCGGAUAUGAGCUCCUGCUGCAUGGUGGGGGUUGGAAAGUUUCGGCGGUUGGGGAUGGACUCGCGGCUUAUCAGCUUGUUGGUGGGGUAGUGGCUUACCAAGGCUUUGACGGGUAGCCGGCCUGAGAGGGUGACCGGCCACAUUGGGACUGAGAUACGGCCCAGACUCCUACGGGAGGCAGCAGUGGGGAAUAUUGCACAAUGGGCGGAAGCCUGAUGCAGCAACGCCGCGUGCGGGAUGACGGCCUUCGGGUUGUAAACCGCUUUCGCCUGUGACGAAGCGUGAGUGACGGUAAUGGGUAAAGAAGCACCGGCUAACUACGUG
rnacentral:rRNA from 1 species